rnacentral:rRNA from 1 species
GACGAAGGAUGCAAGUGUUAUCCGGAUUCAUUGGGUUUAAAGGGAGCGUAGGUGGCCUUAUAAGUCAGUGGUGAAAUCUUCGAGCUUAACUCGGAAAUUGCCAUUGAUACUGUAGGGCUUGAGUAUAGUUGCCGUUGGCGGAAUAUGACAUGUAGUGGUGAAAUACAUAGAGAUGUCAUAGAACACCGAUUGCGAAGGCAGCUGACGAAACUAUAACUGACACUGAGGCUCGAAAGUGCGGGGAUCAAACAGG